CGGGUGAGUAAUGUAUGGGGAUCUGCCUGAUGGAGGGGGAUAACUACUGGAAACGGUAGCUAAUACCGCAUAACGUCGCAAGACCAAAGAGGGGGACCUUAGGGCCUCUUGCCAUCGGAUGAACCCAUAUGGGAUUAGCUAGUAGGUGAGGUAACGGCUUACCUAGGCGACGAUCCCUAGCUGGUCUGAGAGGAUGAUCAGCCACACUGGGACUGAGACACGGCCCAG
rnacentral:rRNA from 1 species